GCGGGUAUGGUGAAAUUGGUAGACACAACAGACUUAAAAUCUGUCGACCGUUAGGUCAUGCCGGUUCAAGUCCGGCUACCCGCA
rnacentral:tRNA from 1 species